GUCGUUCAGGAGCAAACACUGUCAGUGUUGCGGUGUUAGCUUAGCGCUAGGAGUAAACAUCGGAGUUUCGGUGUCCUCUGAUUUUUAAGUGGGCAGGUCACAGAAUAUAUUUACGUAAAUCUCCUCAAUAACCGGUGAAAGACAUGCUGCUCGACGUCUGCUGAGAUGGAGGAGACUGCCAAUAUGGCGCAUAACUUCCACUGGUAAGCUUCCAUGCGCCUCCUAGCGGUGGUUGUAGAGUACUACAGUUUGGCCAGCAAUAAGAUGAUCAUUUUACCCCCCAAAAAACACACCAAUAAAAGUGUUUCACACAAAAAAAAUCAGAAGAAAGACAUUUAUUACAACUAAUAGAUUUAUCACAUGUACAACUAUUUACAAACAGUAAAUAUUUAACAAAAAGAGAAAAAAAA